rnacentral:rRNA from 1 species
CCUACGGGAGGCAGCAGUGGGGAAUUUUGGACAAUGGGCGCAAGCCUGAUCCAGCAAUGCCGCGUGCAGGAUGAAGGCCUUCGGGUUGUAAACUGCUUUUGUACGGAACGAAAAAGUCUGCCCUAAUACGGUGGGCCCAUGACGGUACCGUAAGAAUAAGCACCGGCUAACUACGUGCCAGCAGCCGCGGUAAUACGUAGGGUGCGAGCGUUAAUCGGAAUUACUGGGCGUAAAGCGUGCGCAGGCGGUUAUAUAAGACAGAUGUGAAAUCCCCGGGCUCAACCUGGGACCUGCAUUUGUGACUGUAUAGCUAGAGUACGGUAGAGGGGGAUGGAAUUCCGCGUGUAGCAGUGAAAUGCGUAGAUAUGCGGAGGAACACCGAUGGCGAAGGCAAUCCCCUGGACCUGUACUGACGCUCAUGCACGAAAGCGUGGGGAGCAAACAGGAUUAGAUACCCUGGUAGUCCACGCCCUAAACGAUGUCAACUGGUUGUUGGGUCUUCACUGACUCAGUAACGAAGCUAACGCGUGAAGUUGACCGCCUGGGGAUACGGCCGCAAGGUUGAAACUCAAGGAAUUGACGGCUGAGACGNGCGAGCGACGACGAGGGAGGAGG